rnacentral:rRNA from 1 species
UGGGGAAUAUUGCACAAUGGGCGAAAGCCUGAUGCAGCGACGCCGCGUGAGGGAUGACGGCCUUCGGGUUGUAAACCUCUUUCAGCAGGGAAGAAGCGAAAGUGACGGUACCUGCAGAAGAAGCGCCGGCUAACUACGUGCCAGCAGCCGCGGUAAUACGUAGGGCGCAAGCGUUGUCCGGAAUUAUUGGGCGUAAAGAGCUCGUAGGCGGUUAGUCGCGUCUGCUGUGAAAACUCGAGGCUCAACCUCGGGCUUGCAGUGGGUACGGGCUGACUAGAGUGCGGUAGGGGUGACUGGAAUUCCUGGUGUAGCGGUGGAAUGCGCAGAUAUCAGGAGGAACACCGAUGGCGAAGGCAGGUCACUGGGCCGCAACUGACGCUGAGGAGCGAAAGCAUGGGGAGCGAACAGGAUUAGAUACCCUGGUAGUCCAUGCCGUAAACGUUGGGCACUAGGUGUGGGGUCCAUUCCACGGAUUCCGUGCCGCAGCAAACGCAUUAAGUGCCCCGCCUGGGGAGUACGGCCGCAAGGCUAAAAACUC